AAAGAAUCUGUAUGUUUUGCUUAUUUCUUGGCAGAAGCAACUUUUGCGAAAAAUCAUCUGUGAUAAAAUUUACCUGUGAACAGGAAUCUAGCAGUGCUGUACCCAAUCUGUAGCUCCCCGAUGCAUCACGAACGAAAGUGUUUGCUGUUGCAAGGAUGACGUUAUUCAGCGAUGAAUUAUUCUUUUGUGUAUGCGUGACUGCCUCUUGUUUUGGAAAUACAUGAGUAGGUGUUUGUUGGCCUGAAGUAGAACCGCGGUGGAGUAAACUGUGGUGUUGCCGUGCACAAACCUUGCACCUGUGUGAUGAUGGACAAUUGGCUACACGAUGUCCCUUUGAUAAGCAAUUGAUACAAAGUCCUAUUUUCUUUGCAUGAUCGAAACGUUGAAUUAAGUUUAGUGACUUAAAGCGAUCGCAAUCAAAUACCUGAUGGCUGUUACUGCAACAGAAAGCACAAGUUAUGUUGGAGCAGGAAAAUGUCCGUGGUUGAUUCCUUGAUUUCAAAGUGGAGUAUUUAUUAACACCUUGAGUUGACGAAGUACUAACAUGCGUGUUGUUCAGUCAGUACAGAGACAGUUUCGCAAUUGGUUGAAUUUUUCAAUAUUAGUUAAAUUGAACUCACGCUCAAUUAUUUGCUUGAACGAGGUGAUAAAAUUUUGAUAAUUUGAAUAGUUGGUAUCAAAUGUAGGAAGCUUAAGUGGUGGAAGUUUUGAACUUGAUUGUACCACGCAAGUUUUGUCCGAAAAUGAAACAUUGUUAUCUUAUAUGACAGACUCUCCAAACUUUACACUGAGAGCGAGCUUUUAAGCGACUCUCAAGAAGACGCAGAGAAAACACUAACUAAUGCGUCUUCUCCAAAUUAAUCUACACCACAGCAAACUAGCGUCUCUAGCCCUAGUUAACCGCAUGGCAGAAGAACGGCCUGACUUCGUCCUCAUUCAGGAGCCAUGGGUAAAUGUAGUAACGACACUACAGUAGUAAGCUGGGAGACGGGCGGAAAGAAAUACCGGCUGGCAUCAUGCUACAUGCCGUAUGACGAGGUAGCAGUACCAUCGCAGCUGAUGAAAGAGCUAGUACGAGACACCGAAGCAUCCAAGUGCUUGAUUAUACUUGGGUGCGACUCCAACGCGAACCACACACUAUGGGGCAGCACGGGCAUCAAAGAAAGGGGUGAGUUGCUUUUUAAUUAUUUAAUAGGAAGUAAGCUUUUGUUAUGCAGCAAAGGUAAUAUGCCAACAUUUAUAACCAGAAACCGACAGAAAGUAUUAGAUAUUACACUUGUAUCGAAAGAACUGGUGGAUAAAAUAACACAUUGGAGGGUACUGAGGGAACAUUCCUUCUCAGAUCACCGCUACAUUGAGUGUAUAAUUGAAGAGAAUGUAGUUAGGGAAGAGAAAUUUUAGGAAUCAUAGGAAAACUGGCAGCUGCACCUGCAGGAGCUAAAAAAAAUAGGAUCUAGAUACCCUCGUUAAACAGUUCUCAGAUUCUUGUCAACAAGCACUAGAGGUGGCUGGCAGAUGCAUCUGCAGGACCUAAAAAAGCGUAUUCCUAUGAUUCCACCAUUUCAACCAGAGAAAUGGUAGAGGUGGCUUGUUCAUUAACCAACAGUAGGGGAAGAAUUAGGCCCCCUUGGUGGUCUCCCAUACUUAAGAAGAUGCAAAAAGAUUGCAGGAAGCAAUUCAAUUUUGCCAAAUUAUCCCACAAAGAAGAAGAGUAGGAUAACUAUUAUAACAUCCUACGGUCAUAUAAAAAGGAGGUAAGGAAGGCAAAAAGAAAUUCGUGGAAAUCUUUUUGAAAUGACAUCCAGAAUACGGCAGAAGCGUCUCGACUUAGAAAAAUAAUGACACAGUCGAAACAAAGCAUCGGAUACCUUCAGAAGCCAGACCACAGCUGGACGGUAUCCAGUGAAAAGACUCUAGGCCUACUAAUGGAUACUCACUUCCCAGAUAGUUCCGAGAGGUAUAUACCAAAGGUUGGCAAAAGCUCACACAUUAAUCCAAAUGAUUUUAGACCAAUCAGUCUUUCAUUUCUUUUAAAAACGCUGGAGAGACUAAUAGAAAUACAUAUAAGGAGCAAACUAAACCCAGGAAAAAUGGCAGUUUCGCAGCAUGCGUAUUCUGAGGGUAAAUCCACAGAAACGGCAUUAAGCUCAGUAGUAGCAGAGAUUGAAAAGUCUUUGGAGAUAAAAGAAUACACCCAUUAGCCUUCCUAGACAUAGAAGGUGCAUUCAAUAACAUCCAGCCGAAGGCCAUAUUGAGGGCGCUUAAAGAUCUGGACAUCUCUGAACCUCUCCGGAAAUUAAUUGAACAGAUCCUCUUGGGCAGGUCAAUUAUUUCAACGCUGGGAGCUUCAACGAUGCGUAGAUCUGUCCGAAGGGGUACACCCCAAGGAGGCGUGUUAUCCCCACAUCUCUGGAUCCUGACAAUGAACAAAUUGCUUGUGGAUCUAGAAAAGAGGGGGGUAUAUGUUAUGGCCUACGCUGAUGAUGUGGCAGUUUCAAUGCAAUGCAACAGACAAUAUUAAACGAUAUUAAUCGAUGGGCCGUAUCAUGCGGACUGAAUUUAAAUGCUAGCAAGACAGAAAUAGUAUUGUAGAAAUCACGCCGCCAUCUUUAAAUGGCACCAGGCUAACGAUAGGAGAUAAAGCAAGCUACUUGGGACUAAUUUUUGACAGGAAGCUUUCUUGGAAACAAAACUUGGAAGCAAGGGUAAAGAAAGCAGCUACAGCGCUUUACACGUGUAAAAGUAUGGUAGGGCCCAGAUGGGGACUAACGCCUCGGGUAGCCUACUGACUCUACACAGCAAGGCCGAUCAUGACUUACGGUAUAUUAGUAUGGUGGCCUAUUACAGGAAAGAAAUAUGCGAUUAGAAGCAUGGAAAGUAUACAAAGAGCAGCCAGUAUUUGCAUCAGUGGAGCUCUCAGAACUACGCCAAGCCAGGCACUCAACGUAAUUUUACACUUACUGCCAACAGAUCUGUUUUGCAGGCAAAUGGCAGCGAAGUCAGCUCUGAAACUGAGGGAAUCCUCCCUACUAGUCGCUAGUAACAAGGGACAUUCUAUGAUACUUAUGAAGUUCCCGUUUCUUCCCAUAAUCACAGAUUUUCGCAAUCCUACAGAGCUGAAUCUAAAUCCGGUCCCCAAGAUUGCCUUCCUCGCCAGAGAGGAGUGGGAAAGGGGCGUAGUGGGCAAGGAAGCAGGGAUAAUCUUCUAUACGGAUGGUUCCAAACUAGAUAACCGAGUAGGCGGCGGGGUCUUCUCACCUAAACUAGAUACCAAAAUCGCCUUCCGGUUAUCAAACCACUGCAGUGUCUCCCAAUCGAAGGUCACCGCAAUUAAAGAAAGCCCUCUUGUAUUGACAAGGAGUGUGCUCACAACAAGGAAAAUAUCUAUAUAUACAGACAGCCAGGCUGCUUUGAAAUCUCUGAUGUCCCAUAGGAUUUCGUCGAAGACACUGAAAUAUUGCUAUGAUCUUCUAGCGGAUUUGACAUCCUAUUUCACGGUAAACCUGCAAUGGUUCCCGGGACAUAGAGACAUCACCGGGAGGUGAACCAGCCAGAACAGGCACCACCCUACAACUAGAUCCUGGUAAGGAAGACAUAUAUAUGCCUCUGGCUACUUGUAGAUACUUAAUCGACAAACAUGUCAUUAUCAUAGCCGAGCGUCAGUAGAAUCAGUCCCUGACUUGCUCAACUAGCAGGCAAACGUGGCAUGAAUGGAAUAUGAGCCGCACAUGCCGACUGUUAAAAUUCAAGCGGAAUGAUAUAAGAACUCUAAUAGGAGUACUAACAGGCCACUGUCUAAUAGGCAGACAUGCAAGUAGACUUGGUACGCCAUAUAACGACUAUUGUAGAAGCUGUCAGGAAAUAGAAAAGGAGGACACUAUUAAACAUCUUCUAUGCGACUGCGCAGCACUAUAUAGGAAAAUAAUCGCAGCCAUCGGUCGUGGGUUUCUUGACGACGUCUCGGAGGUUAAACGGAUAAAACUUGUCUCACUGAUGAAGUUCAUCAGAAGUACGGGGUGGUUCAGAGAAGAGCCAAUAUAGUGAGGAUACCACAGUCCCGGUGGUAUCACAAUGGGCCUCCUAAAGGCCUAGGUGCGUCGAAAGACAGCCACUUUACCUACCUACCUACCUAGUGGUAGUCGUACGACGUACCGACCAUUAUCUGAUCUAGUAGUUGUGGCUUUGUAAAAAUCUUCACAAUACUGAUCUUCAGGAGUUGUGAUUAAUAUGAGGGGGAGCUCUUCNCAACAUAAAAUAGUAUUUUGUGCCAAUAGUGUGUUUUAAAUUGUCUCAAUGUCUUCGAGUAUUAUCUGUGGUAUGAGAUCGCUGCCUAAUAGAAGAUCUAUUUGAGCGGGAGUGUUGCAGUUGAGAUCUGCUAGCUUUACGUGAAACCCUUUGCCAAUGCUUGCUAUUUAUGUGAUAACUUGGAAGCAUGCUUGUUGGUUGCGUUAUCCGCUUUGGGGGAAGUUAGGGUAAUGGGGCAGAUUUUGUUUGAGUUUUAAACUACUCUUCCGCCCAUUCCCGUGAUUUCAAAAUUGUCUAGUUUUGUGGCAGUUGUAGCCUAUUUUGUGCCCUAGACGCUAUAAAUGAUCGUUGUUAUCCUUAAGGCCCUAAGAUUAAAUACUUCUUCUCGGUGUUCGAUGGAGACGACUGCUGUGGGUAGUAGUACCCUACUUUGGUUUUCGAUGUGUACCGUUUGCGUUUUUAAUGCCUUUGAGCAGCAUGGUGCUUCUUGGCGAUUUCAGGAUUUGCUGUUGCAAUUAAUCCCGCAGCCCUUUUAACAUUAUUUUGUGAUGAGCUGGAAAAAUAUGUGAUAUGUAACAUUGAAUGAUGUCUUUUGUGGCAAUAUACGCAAUUGAAUUUGCUUUCACACUCUUUUGGAGUAUGCGCACGUGACAAACAGUUUGUGCGUAGUUUGUUUUGUUCCCACAAAAUUGUUCCUAUCGACAAAAUUUAAUUCUUUGAAUUUCUCGCAAAAUUUGAGCUUAUGCCCUCCUGUACGCAUGACGUUUGUUUAUAUUGUUCGGAUGUGAACGAUUGGUUUUUAAAAACGCUUCUAUUUAAAUUGUUAUUGCUUCUGGUUUCGGGUAUAUUGAAGCUUCUAUUGAGGUCAUUUUGAACGAUUUAGUUCUAACUAGUUUUUUGUCUACCCUUUAUGCUAUUUCGUAUUGGGUAGUUAGAAAUUCUUUCAUUUGCUGCCACGUUGGGGAUUUUUUCCGAGAUGAGAGCGAUUGCUCCCACAAAAGUAACGAUUUUUCUGGUAAUGCUGCGGUGCAUAUAUAAUAUUUACCAGAAUGGGGUCCCAGCUAUCUGUGGAAAUAUUUUGUGUCGAUAAAACCGACAAACAAUUAGAAACAUGAUUGUAGUCUAAUAAAUUCUUCACUUGUUUCUUUCUGAAUUUUUGGCAAGUUCAUUAGUAUCGUUACUUGCUUAUCGACCAAUAUUCUUUCAUUUUCGUAUCUUUCUUUUAGAACUUCCCAAGCCAUAUUGAAAUUAUCGUCAUUUAGUGCGAACUGUUUGACUAUGACGCCUGCUUGACCUUCUGUUUUGUAUCGGAGGUAAUACAAUUUUUGUGCAUUUCUGAAUUUUGGGUGGUUUAUGUAAACGGCUGUAAACACGUCCCGGAAGGACGGCCAUUGUUUAUAACCACCAUAAAAGAUUUCUAUGUCACAUGCUGGGACAUUGAGAUGGAUGCCUGAAUUUGACUCUUGAUAUUGAAUUUGUGGCAGCUCUACUCUCGAUGUGGAGUCCUAAUAAAUUUUAAUUGAUCCGAAAUCAUUGCUUUUGUUUCUUCAAACUGGUCUAGGCAGUUUUCGUACUUGGCGUAAGCCGAGGAUUUAAAAUUUUCAGUGAGUGCAAGUGAAAACAUUAUUCAUGGUGUGAGAGAACAGUGUGAAAAAAAGUUAUAAUACGCAGGUAUUUUACCGACUGGUAAUAUAAUACAUUCGGAUAUAAGUAUAUAUGUAAUUAUAUAAAUGAAUGUUUAGUUAUAAGAUAUAUUGGUAAAUGCAAUUUGCAUAUUGUUUGCUAAUUGAAUGUAUAUAUGUAUAUGUAUGUUUGUAUAAUAUUUUGUCUUUUUGCUGUAGGUUCUAGCUUUAGUUGUCAUUGUGCCUUGUAUAUAUAUCCACAAAUGUAAGCGCAGAUGUCAAGGCAAGCAAUAAUUUGGUAAUAUAAUAUAUAUACAAGUAUAUACAUAUAUAUGUAAAUAUAAGAAGACAUAUGUGUAUGUAUAUAAGUAUAUUCAUCCGAUUUUCUUUUAUAUAUCGGUUUUUUGGAAUUUUCUGUUAACGUUUGGAAAAAUAUAAGUAUAUUUUACUUAAAUUUUUAGUUCCUUUGUUUUUUUGCUUUAUAUUUUCCGUUAACGUUUCCUGUACCCGUUUUUUCAACUUGUUAAAACGGAUUAUCCUAGUUUUAACAAAAUACAUAAUGAACAAACAUCCAUAUAUAAUUAAUAAAAAAUGAAAACUGUGCACUUACUUUGUCUCGCCUCAAGGGGUUUUUGGGAAUAAUAUAUGUAUGUAUUUAUUGUAUGUUUUUUGAUAUAUUUUAGGGUUUCGCGCCCGUUUGGGUCUUUUUGUUUUUUUGUUUCGCGCCCGUUUGUUUUUGUAGCACAUAUAAUAAGUUUCGCCGUUUCUUUUUUUUAUAUGUAUAAUGUAUAUUUACGAACAUAUGUUCGGUCACUAAACUGCAUUAAUGUAUUUAUGCAUAUACAUAUACCUAUGUAUGUAUGGAUACAUACAUAUACUACUUAUUGCACUUCGCUUAUGUUCACAUUUGAUUUUUUUUCAAAUAAAUCACCGCACCAAUUUUUGGUUAUUUUGUUUUUGUACAAAUUGUUUUGUAUAUUUUUUGUUUAUCUUUUUUUGUUCACUUUUUGGCACUGCACCUUUAAAUGUUGUUCUUUAUUGAAAUAUAUAUACAUAUACAUAUACGUAUAUUUUCUGUUUUGUUCACGUUUUGGCACCGCACUUUAUUAUUUUAAUAGGUUUUUUUUUGUAAAUAGCCCAUAAUGCCGUUCACUGGGGCUCGAAUGACGAUGAUUAAAUAGGUAAGCGCAUACCACUGUAAUGUUUUGAUGUAGCACUUACACUCGCGGUUAAUGUUAUAAACGAAAAGUAGAUCUCUUUGUGAUACGAAAUAAGUGGUAAUUUAUUUGUUUUUACAAAACUUUCUAAUUUUAACACUUAUUUAAAUGCUGAUAAAGAUAGCAGUGUAGAAUUGAUGUCGAAGAAAUUAUGGUAGUUGACGGUUACAGGAUCGCUGACGAAACGAAUUGUAGCGCACUUGAUCGUUGUCGUAUCGAUGUGUUAAAACGAAUGAAAUGAAUUGGCGAUCCAAUCCCUUUUUUAUUGUUGAUUAUGUGGUGACAUCCUGUAUAGUGUGGCCGUGAGUGUGAGUUGUGUUCCAAGGUAUGGUGUGUUGUAUUAGGGUGGGAGCGGUGUACUUGGAGGGGGAGUCAUCUAAUCUUAAGAUUUAAUGUUCCGUAAGCGACCCAGUGGCAGUGGCAAUUCCCAAAAAACUAUUAUCUAGGCCAUGUAAAAUUCCUGGUUGGCGUUCGUCAGCUAGUUAUCGACAAUGACAGCAAAUUACUAAAUUUCACAGUGUGAACAUUUUUAACACAAAACUCCGCAGAGCUACCCUUAAUAGUUACUGAUCUAACAUUUUUCUUUACUUUGACUUUCGCCAUACCAUUGUAAUGUUAGUGCAAUAUUUGGUCUUCUUAGACCUAACAUGGCGGCUUUACUUUCACGUCCACUCUAACAGCGCUGAUGCUAUCACGCCGCUGCUGCCAUCACUCUUAUGCUGACAUCACGUCGCUGCUGCUAUCACAUUCGCUGCUGUUUAAACCGUCAUGGGGAUGAGCUGCCGCUGCAUCAUAUGCCAAAGGGACGUACAGAUUUUCUAGAGAACAGUUUUAUAAUAUACCUAAAACAACCAUAUCAGCAACAGUAGCAGUAAGACCAACAGCAUCAGCAAAGGCAGCAGCAACAACAACAGCAAGGUACAGACAAACACACUAACACAUGCAUAAAUUAAAAGUAAAUUAUAAUUAUAUAAUAAAAAGCAAAGAAGGACACAUACUCACAAGUGCAAAAGCAGUGGUGCAUGAAAUAAAAACAGUACUGGAUCAACAAAUAAAUUCAAGAAUAUAUACAUAUAUUACCUCCCAAACAUGAAGAGGAAGUAAGAAGACAAAUUUGUGAAUUAGAAGGGCAAGGAAUAAUUAGGAAAAGUAACAGUAGAUAUAGCUCACCAAUCUUAAUAGUACCAAAGAAUAUAGAUAAUUCAGGAAUUCAGAAAUUCAGGCUAGUAGUUGAUUAUAAGAGAUUAAAUCAAUUUACUGUAGACGAUAAGUAUCCUCUACCAAAUAUCGAAGGAAUCUUGGAUAAAUUGGGCAAAGCACAGUUAUUUAGCACGAUAGAUUUAGCCAAAGGUUACCACCAGAUUUUAAUGACAAAAAGGGACAUCGAGAAAAUAGCUUUUGUUACUCCAGCCGGACUAUAUGAAUACGUUCGAAUGCCUAUCGGGUUGAAAAAUGCCUCAGCUACCUUUCAAGGAUUCAUGUACGACAUAUUGAGAGAAGCCAUAAAUAAAAUAUGCGUCGUAUAUUUAAACGUCUUACUAUUUUUUUCAACUUCAUUAGUAGAGCAUAUAAACUCAGUGAGAAAAUGUAUUUUGAAAUUACAAGAAAACAAAUUAAAAAUACAGGCAGAUAAAUGCAGUUUUCUUCAAAUUUGUAGGACACAUAUAAACAAAAGAAGGCAUCAAGCCUAAUCCAGAUAAAAUUGUAGCAAUUCCAAAACUACCAAUACCAAAAACCGAGAAAAAAUUAAAAGGGUUUUUAGUAGCAACAUAAUAUUACAGAAAAUUCAUGAAAGAUUAUUCAAAAAUAGCCUAUCCCAUGAUCAAAUAUUUGAAAAAGGCAAUAAAAUAAAUUCCAAAGACUUACAAUAUAUUGAAAGCUAUGAAAACUUACAAAGUAUUAAUUUCAUCUCACGCAAUUCUAAAAUUCCCAGAGUAUGAUGAAGAAUUCAGUAACACAACUGAGGCUAGUGACUAUGCUAUUGGAGCAGUACUUUCACAGCAAAGUCACCAGUGUGUUACAUUUCAAAAACACUAAAUAAUCACUAGCAAAAAUACUCUACUACAUUGCAGGAAUGCAAUAGAAUACGUAAAUGGAUUUUAGCUGUGGCUGAUUUCUUGAGUCGAAUUGAGAACCCACCAAAAGCAAAAGAAAGUAACGAUAUUGAAUCAAACCUGGAAUUGUCAGAAACAAUUCAUUCAACAGAUAAAGAACUGCUUGAGCACUUCCCAAUUAAAGAAGAAAUUAUAAAUAAAUACAAAAUUAUCGAAUCGAAUUAUAUUGACACAUAACCCAAAAGCUCAGAUAGAAAGACUUCAUGGAAGAAAAAUAAUUGAAAUAGACCCAAUGGAUGAAGAAGAAGAGAACAAAGAAACAUCAAAAAAAUUUAUUAAAGGAACCGGAAUAGUGAAAAUAUUUUCAGAAGUGCCUGAAGCAGAUUAUCAUAAAAUACAGAAAUUAAUGACUGAAAGGUUUGCUCAAGAUAGAAGAUAGUUUGUAAAAUGCACAAAAAGAGCCUCAGAAAUAGAAGAAGAAGAGGAAUUACAUAAACAAAUAUCACUGUACCAUACAAAGGAUUAUAUGCAUAGUGGCAUAAAUAAAACCUAUAAUACAUUAAACGAUAAAAUAUAUUAUGCGAAAGUCAAGGAAGAAAUAAAAUUGAUAAUAAACAAUUGCCAAAAAUGUCAACAAAUCAAAUACGAUAUAAAACCAGUAAAACUAAAAUUUCAUUUAACUGAAACUCUAACCAAUAAAAUGAGAUAAUUUAUAUAGACAUAUUCCAUUUCAACAAACAAUCAUUUGAUUCAGCGAUUGAUAGAUUAACCAAAUUUGCAGCAGCUUACAGAAUAACAGAUAGAAACUGGAGAGCUAAAAAGACAGUAAUUAUGGAACAUUUUGCAAAAUUAGAAGUCCAUCACAUAAAACCCAAUACUCAUACAGGAAUUGCAGAUAUUGAGAGACUACACUCAAUCGUAUUGGAAAAACUAACAGGAAUUGAUGCCCAUAGUCUUUCAACAGAAAUGAGAAUGCAAAUUAUUAUAUGCAACUACAAGUAUAACAAUAGGUAUCACCCAACUAUUAAAUGUUCUCCAAGGGACGUCAAAGUCCAUUUGUCCAUUCAUAUUACAAGAUAGAAUAAAUAUUGCAAAACAAAAUACAAUAGCCAAGUUAAAUCAAAACAGAUAAGAAACUCGAUUAAAAACUACAAAAGAGUACGGCAUAAAGAUCAACCAUAGUACCGAAUUCAUCCACAGCAAAAUGUUCAUCCGGCAAAUAUAAAAAGACCAAUGAAAUUGGCAAACAUAGAAAACCCAAUCGAGAAAGAUGCUGAUGCAUUUAGCUUAAGAACAUUUAAUGGGGAUAAACACUUAACUCAAACACACAAAAAAUAUUGUUUUAUUACAUGAUUUUUGUUCUACCCUAGUGGGUAUGGGGUUUUAAAUAAAUAUACCCGUGGUAAGUGAUGCCUGUCGUAAGAGGCGACUAAAAUCCAACGGAGUAUUAUAAUAUCGAAAACUCCUACGUAUAGAGACCUAAACCUAAACGAUUAUAAAUUUAAAUUUUUAUAUUUUACAGAUGACGGGAAUAUUUAUUAUUUUUAACAAUAAUCCAACAUCAACAUUGGUUGCAACAGUUUUGCAAAUUACAAAAAUAAUAAAAGAAGCGGGUAUACAGUAAGUAAUAAGUACAGGUAUACACAUUAAAAUCCGUACAAAAUUACAGUAAUAGUUGACCAUAUUAAAGAAAAUAUUGGACAGCUAAAUAUUGAAAACAAAGAAAUUUUGUACAAUGAAAUAGAAAAUAGAACAGCAUUAUAUCUUUAACAACGUAUGUCAAAGAAAAAAAGAAAAGAGGCUUAAUAAAUACUGGGGGAACAGCCUAUAAAUGGAUGUUUGGAGUUAUGGAUGAUGAUGACAGGCAAUACAUUGUGAACCAUUUGAAAAUUAUUGACGAAAAUGUCCAUAAUGCUAUUGUAAACUUAUAUAAACAAAUAUUAAUUAACGAAAAUUUCACUAGAUCAUUAAACAUAUUAAAAGAUACUAUAGAAUCAGAUAGGAAACAAAUAAAAGAAACUCUAAACAAAAUAAACAACGAUGAAAAUAUAAGUGAAAGAAAGUUUUUGUUUAAUGAACAAACUAAAGUUCAUAGAAAAUAAAGUUCAGAAAAUGCAAGACAAUAUAGCGGCAGCUAAAUACAAUGUGGUACAUCCAAGUAUGUUAACUAAGGAAGAAAAAAUACGAAAUUGAUUUUUAUAAAUUAAAAUUGGCAAAGGUAGGAGUAGUAGUAUACAAAAAUUAAGGAAUAAUAUUCGCAAUUCAGAUACCAAAUACCUUCUUUCAAAUGAAAAUUCAAUUAAUAACUCAAUUGCCAAAACAAAAAAAUAAAUUACAGAUUAGUGAAAAAGAAAAAUUCGUUACCAAGAUUGGCGAAAGCUAUUUUGGUUACAAAAAAAUAAAGCAUUUAAAAAUUUAAAUUGAGUAAAAGCUGUAUAUUUUCAAAUACUUGUGAAUUUAUAUAUUGUACAGUAACAAAACAACAAUACAAGAGGUAAGCGAUGAUACAAUAUUAAUAAGAAAUGCUAAUAACGAUAAAAUGAAACAGAACUGCGAUGAUAAAAAAUAGAGUUCUUACAGUAACGCUGCGGGAGUUGCGUCAUCAGAUGACUUCACCACCCCCAAGAGAAAGAAGUAUUUUUUUAAAUAAGCCCCCAAUGUAACAAACAACAUACAUAGGUAUGUGGAUAUUAUAAGUUAUUAAUAUGUAUCAUACCAACUUGUAUAUGCACUAUACAUUGUAAUAUGCUAUUGCAAUAGCAUAAUGAAAUCAGCACAACGGCUUCAAGUAAGUUAAGCAAAAUGUUAUUUUAUAUGAGUCGAAAAAUCAAUAAUAAACUAGACGGUAAGUCGCACAGUACAGUACUUUUCCGUAGUUUUUUUAUUCACGCAAAAUGAAACUACGUAUAAACAAGAAUCAAAUAAGUAAUUCACACAUCCGCCGAGCUUACCAUUGACGCAGAAGGCACUUGUUCAACAAACCCCGAAAGAGCUGCUCGCUAGGUACGAGCAACUGAACGCGCUGGAGAAGGUGUCUCAAGCGCAAACACGCUCUGUAGCAGCGACGACCCAAACGGACGAAUAAAGCGUUCUCGCUAGGGUACAUCCCACAACUCCAUGGAUCAAUAUCUCCGUAACGGCCGCAAGUUGACCGAUGUGGCACUGGACCGAAUCGAUCCGUGGGCUAAACGCACACUACUACGGCCGUUUGUCUGCACACGAUUUCCCACCUCCGUCACUGGACACACACACAACACAGUAAUAUACUGGGACCGUGCGAGGAGUCCACCAACAAGAACAACAAAAAUAACCACGUUGCGUAAAGUACACUAAAAAGGUACAGUACACUAAAAACACACUAUGUGUACUAACAGUUACCCACGCGGCAAACACCUCCAAAAAUAUGCACAAAACGCUCAAAAAUUUGCACCGCGAAAAUAACAUGCGGUCUAUAACGCGAGCAACAACAGUGCUUUACGCCGAUCGCACCAACAAAACGCACUACUGCUAUAAACACGCGCCAGAGCCAAACUCUGGAGACCUUUUUUCCUGCGAGGAAGUUGUGUGUGGUCAAAAGUCGUCGGAGAAGAGGGCAGUGAGCUUCUUUACAUACGGGGCAAAGCUUGAGGGAAGGCUGGUGGAAAGGUAUAUUGUCAGGACCUCUAUCAACUUCAGUUUCGAAAUUCCUAACGAUGGCAGUGUUUUUCAAGCCGAGAUUGCGGCCAUUAAGGUAGCAGUAGAUUUACUGCUUUGGAUUGUAUCCUCCUUCAUCUAUCCUUUGGCUAUACUAACCUUGAGCUCACUAACCGUGCGCUCAGGGCUGGAUAAGAAAUGCCUAAGCUCGUUAUCAAUAGCAUCGAGUCACUUUGUGAUAAGACUAAUAUGCCAUAAGGUUUACAAUCUUACCGGACGCCAUCUGCCGAAGACGAGGUGCAAACAUUUCAGCACAUCCUUUUUGAUUGUCCUGCGCUUGCGAGAUUAAGACUCAAACACUUAGGAGCUGACACUUUCAGAUAUGCCAACGAACUGGUGGGAAUAAAAAUAAAAUGCCUGAGCAAAUUUGUAUCGGCCACAAGACGUUUUGCUGACUUAUCAGUUCGAAAGGACUGCUUUCAGUAGUCCAAGUGCGAUCUCUGGAUCAGUCAUAAAACCUUACCUACCUUAACCUUCGUUUGCAAGCUUACAAUAUCCUACUCGGGCAAGACUUGAAGCUAAACUACCAUCAAGCGCGUUCGAUAAAUCGACCCAAAACGGGAUGGCUACCUAUCUCGAAAGAAAUUUUUUUCACCGAUGAAGCUCACUUUUGGUUGAAUGGGUACGUUAUUAAACCAAAUUGCCGCAAUUGGAGUAAUGGAUGCAAUUGGAGUAAUGUUAAUACACAAGCCCUUGUUUAGACCACGUUACAUUCUUGAAAACUGUUCACUGUUUGGUGUGCAGACGGAAUCAGUAGUCCAUACGAGUAUUUCUUCAAAACUGAAGCCAGCCAUAAUGUCAAUGGGGAACGCUAUAGAGCCGCGAUUAAUGACUUUUUCGAGCCUGAAUAGGAGAAUGUAUAUGUAGACGACCAUUGGUUCCACAGCCAUCGAAACUAUCAAUUUAUUGAAGGAAACUUUUGGUGAAGGCAUUAUCACCGCUGGACUAAUUUUUGUGGGGUUAUGUGAGGUCGCUUGUCUACGCAAAUAAAACCGAGAAAAUUGGCUAUCCCGGCUGAAAUUUUUUCGAGUCAUCCGCGGCGGUUCCUUACUCAUUUAAAAACAUAUUGGCAAACCUUUAUCUUCAUAAUAAAGCUUAAUUUUUGGUCAUAAUAAUAUAUUAUAUGUUAUGCGUUUUAUUUCUUUUUGAAAACCACAAAUAUCUUUGAAUCGAUAGUGCCGAGGUAAUACAAAACCUGAGACAUAAACAAACACAUGUAUAUAUACUUUUAGUUAGAUAAGUUAGAUUUAAAAAUUGUAAACUAAUUUCUCACUCAAUGCAAGUAGUUAUCUUCCCUAGUGGUAAGAAUUUAUAGAAAAUACAUUAAGUUAAUUCGGAUUCAGAGCUCAGUCAGGAUAAGCCCUGUCAUUAAUAAAAACACAGACAGCACAAUUAAGACCUGUUAUACAUACGGACAAUAAAAAAACCAGUUAAAAAUACAGUACAAAUACACAAUAUAUUCACGCAUUUGAAAUUAAUCACAUAAGUAAGAAAUUAAACCAGAAUAUUAACUGUAUCCAAAGAGAUAUUCAGCGGCUGAGAAUCAAGGCAUAGCAAAGUCAGUUCUUUGGAGAAUACACACCAGUUAAAAAUAAACGAGAAGUGUUGAGGACAAAUUCAAGAUAGGAUUCUUGAGAACCAAGCGAAUUCAUCCGAAAAUGACAUACAAAUGAUCAACACUAUAUCUCUAGGGGUCGUAAAGUCUCUACUUUUAAAAGGAGAAAUGAAUGACUCAAAAAAAAAGACAAUCUAAGUUUUGAGGCACCAGUCAAUAGCGACAAAUAAGAUAUUGGAAACGCUAUUCCUUGACAUUCGUAAUCUGUAUGCAACAAAAAUUUCAAAUUGUUUCAAUGACAAAAUUGAUUAAAUAUACCAAUAUAUUCGGCUGGAGAUCAUCUGAUAAAGCUUCUGGGAAAAUAACAACAACGGUAACAAAUCUAGAAACAAAAGUUCACGAAAAAAAAGAUCAGGAAGUGAUCGUAUACAACACACAUGAGAAAAUGGACGCCAAGAUACAAACGCAAAUAAAACAAAGUCGAUUGUCAAUGAUAUACCAGAAAGCUUUAGAAGAUACACAAAUUCAAACCGAGCAACGAGAAGUGCAACAACUCAAUUUAAGUAAACACAGAAAUGAAUCACAAGAACAAGAAUCGCCUCGUAUUUUGGAGACACAAACAACAUUUAGGAAGAAAAUUACUACUGAUGAGCUGAAGUUAAAAAUAUUGAGGCUGAGAUUUAAAACUAACAAAAGAAUUUGGGUAGUUCUGAAUAAAAGGCAAAUAAAGUGGCUUAGUUUAAAGAUGUUAAUUUGGCUCUUUUCUUCCCCGACAGGCUCACAUAUUGAAGAAUUGUGAGAAACAGAUGUUAAAGUGGAAGUGAUUAAAGAUGAGGACGAAGAAGAAGUAAUCGAACACAUUUUAAAAGAUGAAGCAUAUGAGGAGAAAAACAAAGUUCAAAAAAAAUUUCCGCAAAAGAAAUAGAAGGUUGCUUAGAAAAUGACGACCGACAAAUAGAUGUAUACAUAUGUAAUCAUAUAUUGGUUCUAAACAUACAUUUAGGCAAUUGCUUAUAAAUGUGUACACUUGAAUACAACUCUGCCAGCCACGGCUAACCACUUCCCCCAGAAAUAUCAACACAAUUACAAAUUUUUCAAUCACUAACACCAACGGGGACAUUUUUGUUUUAACCAAUUUCGAACUUGGCAUCUCAUUUGUUGAUCUUAUUGAAUGAGCGCGAAUGAAAAAACAUAUUUGUCAUUAGUUCCAAUAGAAUGAUCCUCAAAGGGAAAUUAAAUACAAGUAAAAAAUGCCAAAAGAAAAAUUAAUUUGGGUUUUUAAUGGGCAAAGCGUAACUAUCAAACUAACAACAUAAAAAGUAUAGUGUGGGUAGAUUCAGCACAUGUUCCAAUAAAAAUGUGGCUCCUGCCAAGAUCCCUUAAUGAUGGCUUGACAUUGUAAAAAUUUAGAGUAAAUUGUAAUGUCAUGUCUACGCGACCAAUCGCUGAAACGCCUAGUAAUUUCGAAGAUGGAACUUUAACAAAAGCAAGAAUUUACCUAUUUGUACUUUCAUUUGUUGUGCACUAUACAUUUCGAUUGAUAUUUGAAGGAAAUAAAUUUUUUGCUGGGCUUUAAAUAGGAACCCAUACCCCCAAACAAUAUCAAAACGGCUCUUCUAGCGUUAAGUGUGCCCGAAGGGGCGUCAAUCUUACUUGUACCUACAUACCCACCCCCAAACAAUUUAUAUCAAGCCUUGGCGUAAUAUGAUCAGUAAAUAAUGUUUAUUACAUUUUUAAGCGAAUUUGUUUAAAAUUUAUUUUUAUAUAACAUUUAAUAUAUUAUAUAUUUUGUUUCGGAAAUAUAGCUAAUAAAGUUAAUAUUCAGUUUAGGUUAACUUUAGGUUUAUAAUUAACAGUAAAAGUAUGUCAACUACAAGUAAAAUAUGUGUAAUAAAUAAAAAAUUUCAAAUUUAAAAAGUUUGUUUGAAAUUUUUAUACUUAGGUGUUCGAAAAUGCGACCCUGCGCCAGCUGGAGAUUUGGAAAAUUAGAGCAGUUCAGCUACAUAUUUCUUGUAUGAGACUGCUGAAGCGAUGCAUGAUCACACGCAUACGUACGUUUGAGGAAAAAGUGGUGAGAAUUGUCACGCCGCCUAUGACACGUUCACUAGUUUUGAGGGUUUAAAAACCUAGUGUUACACUAUAUUUUUAACCACUAUUAGCUGGCAGGAAAUUUCAUAUAUUACACAAUAUAUAUAGGAACACAUACAUGCACAUGCGUUGAGUUGUAUGUAUACUCAAGAUGGGAAACUAGUUUAGGAGGCCGAAAUUCGAGGUAGUUUAUUCCUAUUUUGAACUACACUUUUAAAUCUUUCGAUGCCAUUUUCGCCGGAAGUGGUGGAGUUCAUUAACGACCGCCAACAGAGUUAACCGCUUGCGGGACACCUGGAGGUCGCAGUUUUGAUGUGAAACCAUAAAUUUUUUUUUCUUUCAUUAAUAACAUAUUUUCUAAGAAUAUGAACCAAAAGAGUUGAAAAUAAAUGUUUUGGAGGUGUUUGAACAAAAUGUUAUGUUUUUAUAUAAUUUUUUCACUUUUUUCACAAAAAAAAAAUAUACUUUACCUAAUUAUAUCAUUCCAGAGUUUGAUUAAUAUUUUUAGGACUUGAAUAAAGGUUACUCACACAAAUUUUCAGGUCGAUUCGUCAAUAACUUUUCGAGCUAGGAAUCCCGUAAGUUGAAAAAAAGUCGUUUUGAAAAAAAUCGCUUCGGCACUGAAUCGAGCUUUGUUUACCUUAGUGCUCAUAUCAUCGGAACUAAUUGGAAUUUCGUUUUGAAACUCAAGCAACAUAUUCUUGAAUAGUUGUAUUGUACAAACAAUUUAUGCAAUAAAAAAAUCGAUUUAUUUGAAUCAUCUAAACUGGUUUCCUCCCUUAAAUAUACAUUGGGUUGUUAUGUCUCGUGACAAUAUACAAACAAACAUACACAUAUACAUACCCUUUUAACUCUUUUAGCCACAGCUUUAAUAUGAUGACUUUAGAAAUUAAUAUAUAGUUUAAUUAUGGUUCCAUUAUAAAGAAAACAAAUAUUUUACAAAAAUACCACAUAAGUCUUUCAAGGAAUAAGGUGGCUAGUUACUAACCGCUGUGACGGUAGGCAUAAAAAGUAAUCAAAAAAAAUUGUAUAAGAUGGUACAUAAGAAGCACGUUACAUAUGCAUUGUUUACAGCAAGAAUAUAUUUAGUUCAUUCAUGAAAAUCUAAAAAGCAUACAAGCUGCAUUGCCAUUCAGUACGUGCUGAACUAUUUUAGUGCUGCAUUAAGAAUAUCUUCGUGAAGUAGUUCGCUUCAGCUGAUGCACAUUGGCUUGUGGCGUUUUAUCAAAACUGACAGUGGAGAAGACGAUCCAAAGCUAUUGAGCGAACGCUUAGAGCUCUGAUUGCUUUUCUUUGCCUGAGCUGGUGCUAAGUUGCCUUGGUCCACACUUCUGUGAAAAUCUUUUGUGUCUAAUUUAUCCCAUGAUAUAAUAAGAGGAAGUUUAUGAUAGCACAGUCCAGAAAAUGGAAAAAAAUCGAUACCACAAUGAUGAGACAUUCUGUCGAUGGCAUAAGUACUUUUCUGCUAGUCGAAUUAGUCAACAUAAUUCAUACAACUGUAUCACAGCCUCGGGACAAGCUACUUCAGUCGUGUGUCCAUUGCGUUCUCUUCGAGUAACAAUAUCCAUCUUCGUUAUCAAGCCCUGACUGCUCUGGGUGUAGAAUAUUCUGCAUUUCUCUUUUAUUCAAUACAUGCAGCAUUCUAAAAAAGUCACGAAAUUAAUAAAAUAAAACCUACUAUAGCCACGGUGGCUAGUAAACUAACCACUUUACUUUUUACGUUAUUUAUAAAACAAUAUAAAUGAUAAAGUUUAUUUUUUUAUCAUAAAUCAACUAAUGUAAUGCUAAACAACAGAUAAAUACUAAAAUCGUAAUAUAAUAAACAUUCUUAUCUUUAUUAUUAAAUUUUAAAUUACUCCAUUUAAAAAACCGCAAUGCACUACUUUUUCAACAAUUAGAAUAAAACUAACUGUCACGCCUGAGCGUGUAAAUUUCGCAACAAAUAUGUUGUUGAAAAAGUAACCACCAAACCUGAAUGAGUUAAAGCCAAACUAUAAUUUGCUAUGCUGUCGUAUAUUACUGUCAAAAAGUUAACGAAAAGCCUGUCAAAUGCAUAAGGAACAGAUAGUAGACUUUGAGACUCACAUGCAGUAGAGAAAAGUGCCAAACAAUAAACAAUUUGUGUUUCACAUUGUUUUUUGCAAUACCGAAAUUUACAGAAAAUUAAAAUAUUUAGAAACAAUUAAAUUGCUUACUUCUGUUUAAGACGGAAUAUACACAAUAACAGAACUUUGUGAAAUUAAAAA